GUUCAAAUGUAUGAACACACACAAACAUCUAUGAGUUUUAGCUUUUAAGAAAGUUUGUUUUGAAAAUAAAAUGUUUUUGUCGAAGAAAACCGAGCAUCAGUUCCAUGGGUAAACGGAAAAUCGAUCAGCAAUUCGAAAUUUACGAGCAUCUGAAGAAUAAACAGCCGAAGCAUGAUACAAUACAGGUUGUGCAAGUCGGCCUGCCGCCAUGUCAGGACGAAAACAGGCCGACGAAUGUACGACCCACGAGCGUACAAUAUGACACACAUGCAUCUCUAAGAAUACGCAUCCCCGUACUGCGAUCGCAUAUCCAGUGUCUUGCGACCAUUCCAGAGUAGCUGCCCCAUCAGAGGAGUCAUCAUGUUGAACUACUAUCGCUGUACUUAAUGUUUAAUUCACUGUUUUCACUUCUCACAAAGUUAAAUUUUACUAUAAUUUACUAAGCUUAAAAAUCGAAUACAACAAUGUUUCUUGACGGUUUGAAGUGAAAACACAAAAAUAUUUUUUCGACACUCGUUUUGAACAUUAUCGAGCUUAUGGUACCGUACCUAUUUCGAAAUAUGUUUUUACAGAUACAGUUUUAAUAAAGAAAAAGGUAAUAAGUUACCACUCGAUUCGGCUCCUCCAUAACAAAAGGAACGAGCAAUGAACUUAUUUCAAUUUCAAUUAAAUAAGGUGUUAUCUCAAUAAAUAGACCCUUUCUAUGAUUUAUUAA